rnacentral:rRNA from 1 species
UAUGUGAUCGUCUCUCGCAUAUCAAUAAGCGGAGGAAAAGAAACCAACAGGGAUUGCCUCAGUAACGGCGAGUGAAGCGGCAACAGCUCAAAUUUGAAAUCUGGCCUCGGCCCGAGUUGUAAUUUGUAGAGGAAGCUUUGGGUGCGGCACCGACCGAGUCCCCUGGAACGGGGCGCCAUAGAGGGUGAGAGCCCCGUAUGGUUGGACGCCUAUCCUGUGUAAAGCUCCUUCGACGAGUCGAGUAGUUUGGGAACGCUGCUCAAAAUGGGAGGUAAAUUUCAUCUAAAGCUAAAUAUUGGCGAGAGACCGAUAGCGAACAAGUACCGUGAGGGAAAGAUGAAAAGAACUUUGAAAAGAGAGUUAAACAGUACGUGAAAUUGUCAAAAGGGAAGCGUUUGACACCAGUGUUGUUUUUCUGAAAAUCAAUUAAAGAACUGUUUAUGCUAAGCUGUUUAGACUUUAUCAGCUAUCUGUUUAGUUUUGAGCUUUUCUUUAAUGCACUUUUCAGUUAACAAGUCAACAUCAAUUUCUUUUGCUGUAAAAAAGCUUGAGGAAGGUGGCUUGAGAUUCGUCUUAAGUGUUUAUAGCCUCUUGCCUAUGCAGUCGGAGAGAUUGAGGUCUGCAGCGUAGAUCCUUCGGGGCUAAAUGCAUUUGUGCUAAGUUAUAGCAUUUUAUAGACAACUUGUUGACUAUGAUUUGUCUUGUAGCUUACUCGCUUAUGUUAUUUUACCUACGCUUAGGAUGUUGAAGAUAUGCGCGACACG